rnacentral:lncRNA from 1 species
AGUGUUGUGAGCCCUUAAAAAGGACAGAAAUUGUGCACUCAAAGAGCUCAGAUUUUAAGGCAACAACUUGCCGAUGCUCCCAGCUGAAUAAAGCCCUUCCUUCUACAACUUGGUGUCUGAGAGGUUUUGUCUGCGGCUGGUCCUGCUACAUUUCUUGGUUCCCUGACCGGGAAGCGAGGUAACUGACAGACGGCCAGGGCCGCCUCUUAGGCGGCUUAGGCCUGCCCUGUGGAGCAUCCCUGCGGGGGACUCUGGCCAACCUGAGUGACGUGAUCCAAAAAGCGCUCCUGGGUAGGCAAUUGUCCCGGUGGAACGCCUCAUCAGAGCAGCGUGUAGCAGGCCCCCACAGAAGAUUAACACAGUGAAUGAACACGGGAAAGGAACUGGCACUUGAAGUCCGGACAUCUGAAACUUGACCGGGAGCUGUACGUGGAUGGCAGCAGCUUUGCCAACCCCUGCAAAGUGACUCUGAAAAAACAAGCCCUGCUCCAGUCACACCCGGAACCUGACUGGUCCACGCACGGCCGACGCAUGAGGAAACUCAUUGUGGGACUCAUUUUCCUUAAAAUUUAGACUUGUACAGUAAAGACUUCAACUGACCUUCCUCAGACUGAAAGCUGUUCCCAGUGUAUACAUCAAGUCACUAAGGUAAGACAAAAGAUUGCUGCAGUUCUAUGAUUUUAUGGUUAUUAUGAGUGUACCAGGACUCUAAAAGAAACUUGUUUGUAUAAUGCUAUUCUAUCCAAGGUAUGUAGCCCAGGAAAUAACCAACCUGAUGCGUGUUAUGACUCAUUUUAAGCCUCCCAUGAUCACAGUUUUUAAAAUAAGAAUAAGGACUAGUCUUUUUCUAAGUGACACAAGUAAAGUAAUAGCUAGAACAGAAAAAAGAGAAGUUCCCAAAAAUGUAACCUUAAAAUUUGAUGCCUGUGCCACUAUUAAUAGUAAACAACAUAAGAUAAGAUGCAGUUCUCUAGAUUAAGAAAAAAGUUACACAGCAGAAAAUAAGCAUAUCUGUCAAGAAUCAUAUUUAUGUGAAAUGUGUCAAUACUGGUUUUGUGUCAUUUAGGCGACUUAAAAAUAAAAUAAAAUAAAAUAAAAAGAUCCUGUUUAGCUCCUAAAAAGAAAAGUCAGCCCCUCCUGCACGAGUAGGAGCUGCAACCCUUUAAAAUUAGUAAUCACAAACCCCUCAGACCCAAAACCGAAUAAAAAAAAA